GCGUGGAUGAAGAAGGUCUUCGGAUUGUAAAGUCCUUUCGGCGGGGACGAUGAUGACGGUACCCGCAGAAGAAGCCCCGGCUAACUUCGUGCCAGCAGCCGCGGUAAUACGAAGGGGGCUAGCGUUGCUCGGAAUUACUGGGCGUAAAGGGCGCGUAGGCGGACCAUUCAGUCAGGCGUGAAAGCCCCGGGCUCAACCUGGGAAUUGCGCUUGAGACGUGUGGUCUUGAGGACGGGAGAGGGUGGUGGAAUUCCCAGUGUAGAGGUGAAAUUCGU
rnacentral:rRNA from 1 species